rnacentral:rRNA from 1 species
UACGUAGGGUGCGAGCGUUUAAUCGGAAUUACUGGGCGUAAAGCGUGCGCAGGCGGCUUCGCAAGUCAGACGUGAAAGCCCCGGGCUUAACCUGGGAAUGGCGUUUGAAACUACGGAGCUGGAGUAUGGCAGAGGGGGGUGGAAUUCCACGUGUAGCGGUGAAAUGCGUAGAUAUGUGGAGGAACACCGGUGGCGAAGGCGGCCUUCUGGACAGCCACUGACGCUGAGACGCGAAAGCGUGGGGAGCAAACAGG